GCCUGAGGGCGCGCGCAGGGCGCCUGCGUGGGGACUUGGGCAGGGUGGUUGCUGCUGGCUGCAGUGCUGGGCAGAGGCCGACUGCAGACGGGUAUAAGGCGCCACGCCGGGCUCUGCGGACGCAGGGACGAGAGUGUGACACCCUCCAGAUACAAUUACAUCAAGGCUAGACAGCAGUGUAUUGAUAGCCCAUCAAGGACUCUCAGCUCCCACAAUGGGCCAUUGAAAAAAACUCCUCUCACCCAGUUGGCUCUUACUGAAGAUGCUUCAGACAAUGAGGAUCCAAUGGCCGCCCCCUGUGAUUCAGCAAACCAUGCAAGGACAUGUGAUAUGCUCUUGUAACCCUGGACUCCAUUUCAGUGGCAUAGCCAGGUUCUAAGAGCAGGGGGAGCAAACAUAAAAAAGGUCCCCCCUCUUGGCUCCUUCUCUGGCUGCUCUGCACCCCCCCAUGGGGUCCCCUCUGUGUUGCUAUGGUGCUGAGCACCCCCCUCGCCGGGCCCCCCUAGGUGGGGGGUGAGGUGACACCCCCAAGUGCCCCCGGCCGAGAUGCAGUGGGGUCCAUGUCCCUUUAAGAGCGGGGCGGGGCUGAGCUGAGCCGGCGGGGGUGGCUCCACUCCAUGCUGCAGGCUGAUGCUGGAGCCUGGGCUGAGAGCCAGGCUCGUCUCCUGCACCAGCUAUGGGUGGGGCUUUGCUGUGGCUCCCCCAGGCCGGGCUGCCCCACGGUAGGGGCCGGUUGCAUGAGGCAGGGCAGGACCCGAUGGCGCUGAGGGCUGAACAGGCAGGGCGGUGCGGGGGCUGCUGGAGGGAGAAGCUGGGGAAGGGGUGGCAUGGCCUCAACCCCCUGGGGCGGGCUGCCUGCCCUGUGGAGGAGGCAGAGGGGCGCAAGCCGCAGCAGGACCCCAGCCCCCCAGGGGAGGGGAUCUGGGACCAGCCCGGAGAGGCAGGAGCAGCCCCAGGGGUGCUAGGCGCGUGCAGGGCAGAGCCCGGGGAGAGCCCCAGCCCCAUGGAGGGCAGUGCUGCAGAAGAGGAGCCCGUAGCGGGCGAGGGGAGCCCCAGGCAGGGGGAGCUGGGCCACCCGCACCCACCUCUCGCGGCCGCUCCAUGUUGCUCCCGGUACCAGCCCUGCUGUUUUCUGCUUCCUGUGCCCGGUGCCGCCCCGCCCCACCGCAGGGACCAGCCCCUUCCCACCCACCCCCCUUGCCCAUAGGAGUUCAGCACCGGCUGGCAGGCCAAGCUUCAGAGCAGAGUGUGGGCCCCGCCUGCUGGCGCUAUGGUAACCCCUAACUAAGGCACGCUGCUUUUGGAAAAUGUGCUGCGGAGAAGCGGCUGCUUCCCCUGCACCCCACUAGUUACGAGUCCAUCUUGGGCCACUAAUUUUCCACAGACGGGCUGUGGGCUUUGUUGGGACAGUAAACUUCCAUGAACAUGACCAAAGGAUACAAAAGUCCUCUGAGACUCCUCCAUUUUGCCUCUUUUUGCUAUAAUUCACUGGGCUGUGGAUUUACAACUAAAAGGAGCAUCUUGAACUCUGGGCUGAGAACCUUCCAAUCUUUUGGAAGUUACCAGAGAGACUUUAGAAGCCAGCAGUCUAUUCCAUCGUUAAAAAUCUGAUAUAAGGACUUUACAAUAAUUUGUAUAGUUGUAUAUUAUCAAUAACCAUUUAUAACUCUUCCCUUUUAUUAAUAAAUCUUUAGUUUACUAAGGA